UGCAAUACUAUCUAGGCACAAACUCUGCCUUCCCAGGCUAUAAUCCUAAACUCCAUUGUUAUAACAAAGCAAGCUGCCCAUGAAGGAGCAUAGGACCACAUACUUACAUCUUAAGAAAGAAAAUCAGAGGAUUAGAAACAUCUCCACACAGAGAAAAGGAACAGGUGGCUUCCCAUACCUACUCUCCCCACCUAGUCAAGAACCCUGGGUCAAGGUACAUAAGAACAUGGCAGAUGGCCCAGAAAGGAUUUGGAACAGGGAGCCAACAAGCUCAGAAUCACAAAGGAUACACAGAAGAAGUAGAGACUCAGGACAGAAUGUUGCUGUGCCACCUAGGCUGGAGUGCAGUGGCACAAUCACAGCUGACUGCAGCUUCAAAAUCCUGGCUCAAGCACUCCUC
rnacentral:lncRNA from 1 species